AGGCUUCAAACCUUGGGGGGUCUAGCGGCCCAUUAGUUCGAUUCUACCUUGC
rnacentral:tRNA from 1 species